UGCUUGACGGAUGCAUUAAACUUGCCAAGUG
rnacentral:piRNA from 1 species